rnacentral:rRNA from 1 species
CCUACGGGUGGCUGCAGUCGAGAAUCAUUCACAAUGGGGGAAACCCUGAUGGUGCGACGCCGCGUGGGGGAAUGAAGGUCUUCGGAUUGUAAACCCCUGUCAUGUGGGAGCAAAUUAAAAAGUUAGUACCACAAGAGGAAGAGACGGCUAACUCUGUGCCAGCAGCCGCGGUAAUACAGAGGUCUCAAGCGUUGUUCGGAAUCACUGGGCGUAAAGCGUGCGUAGGCUGUUUCGUAAGUCGUGUGUGAAAGGCGCGGGUUGAACCCGCGGACGGCACCUGAUACUGCGAGGCCAGAGUGAUGGAGGGGGAAGCGGAAUUCUCGGUGUAGCAGUGAAAUGCGUAGAUAUCGAGAGGAACACUCGUGGCGAAGGCGGGUUCCUGGACAUUAACUGACGCUGAGGCACGAAGGCCAGGGGAGCGAAAGGGAUUAGAUACCCGUGUAGUC